GAUUUUAGGGAUUUCCGGCAGCUUAUGAGUAAGCACUAUUCCCCGACAUUUAGCCUCUCCUGGGCCUUUUUUCGGGGAAUUUUGAUUUGGCAGCAAUUCCCCAGCUCCUGCAGCUUUUAUAAACAACAUAAGCAGACAGAGAAGAAGAAGCAGGACUGUCAUUUUUCCAGACAUGCUGUGCAGCCUGGGUCCUUUGGUCUCCCUGACUUUGUCAAAAGGAAGACCUUCAAGAGCAGCUCCUGGCAGAUGUCUCUAGAGCCCAAGCUGGGAGUUAACACCUGACUUUGAGCAUUUGUUGGCCUCAGCCAGAAAGGAGAUGGUUUAUUCCAACAAGCCGCCAGAUCUUCAGCUAUACCUCCAGGAUGUCAAGAUGCCAAAAUGGCCUCAACUUCGCCCCAGCUUGACUCAGCUUAAGGUAGGCUCUUCCUGACUCUAGGCCCUUGACCUCCCCUUUUCUUAGAACACUGACUUUAGAAAACGUGCUAUAGUAAAUUCUUUUUCUAUCCCUU